ensembl:snRNA U6 U6 spliceosomal RNA
GUGCUCACUUUGGCAGCACAUGUACUAAUAUUGGAAUAAUACCGAGAAGAUUAUCACAACCCCUGCACAAGGAUGACAUGCAAAUUCAUGAAUCAUUCCGUAUUUUU